rnacentral:lncRNA from 1 species
GAAACAAUGAAUGCACAUCUCCCGUGCCUUCUUCUCCCCAAGCCACAUUUUAAUUAAAAAAAAUAUUUUACGUGAUAUUUCAGACUUCAUAUAUGUCUAGAAAUAAUUUUAAAGGCUAUCAGCUUAUUAAAAAAUAAAAGGUUUAUGGUACUGCUUCAAUUUUCAACAUUUCUAUGGGGAAAUAUAUUGUAUCCAUGCUCAUCCUAUUGGCCUCACCUGGUCACUUUAUACCAUUUCCUCUCUUAACGAGUUUGCCUUUUGGGCCCUACCAUAGCAGGUAGUUAAACGUUCUUUAAAUUCUAAUGUAAACUUAAGGUUUUAAAUAUGUGGGAUUUCCGUUUUUUUAUUGUCAUGUUUACAAUUUACAGAAAUAUAAGGUAGCUUCAGUCUUCAGUACAAUCUCUCUUUUUUUUGGCCACAGGGCAUGUGGGAAUCUUAGUUUCCAGACCAAGUAUCAAAUCCUCGCAUACUACAUUGGGAACUCAGAAUCUUAACUACUGGAGCAACAGAGAAGUCCUACAAUCUCUCUCUCUCUCUUUUUUCUCUUUCAGGUGUCAUAAAGCAUGGAAUGUCCAGGAAAAGAGAACUCACCAAACUUGAGAUUUGCCUUCCUCUUGAUAUGCAAGGGACAAGAUUUGUCAGUUGGAGAUGACCAGACAUCACUUACGGACUUUCAGAAAAUUAAGGAAUCUUGGACAUAUAGUGAUUCUACCAAUAGUAUUCCAGUCCAGGGUAUGACAGCUGCUGCCAAUACUAAGCUAAGUGAAGAGAAUAUUUUUUGAGAGGUAAAGAACAACUUUAAUCUUUUCUUUUGGAAAUUUAAAGAGUCGAACUUCCCUUCCUGGAAUAGAAAGAGCUGCUCUGUGCUCAGCAUUAUCAUUGCAUCAAGAGAAUUCCCAUGGAGUUACUUAGGAGGAGAAACAGAAUUUGUUCUUUCCUGCGCUCUUAAAAAUAGGUUCAGGAUAUCAGAACUGAAGUACAUGUUUAUCUCGGCAUCCCAAUUUAUCCUCUGCUAUUUUACAGUCUUCCUGUCUGUGUGCGUCUCUCUCAGGGAACCACAUGGAAACAAAUGUCUGGUGAGCAGAGUCUCCUGAGAAAUAAAAAUGUAGAGGUAAAAUGUAUUCCUCA